rnacentral:rRNA from 1 species
GACGAACGCUGGCGGCGUGCUUAACACAUGCAAGUCGUACGGUAAGGCCCUUUCGGGGGUCCACGAGUGGCGCACGGGUGCGUAACACGUGAGUAACCUGCCCACAACUUUGGGAUAACGCUAGGAAACUGGUGCUAAUACUGGAUAUGUGCUCCUGCUGCAUGGUGGGGGUUGGAAAGCUCCGGCGGUUGUGGAUGGACUCGCGGCCUAUCAGCUUGUUGGUGGGGUAGUGGCCUACCAAGGCGGCGACGGGUAGCCGGCCUGAGAGGGUGACCGGCCACAUUGGGACUGAGAUACGGCCCAGACUCCUACGGGAGGCAGCAGUGGGGAAUAUUGCACAAUGGGCGCAAGCCUGAUGCAGCAACGCCGCGUGCGGGAUGACGGCCUUCGGGUUGUAAACCGCUUUCAGCAGGGACGAAGCUUUUUGUGACGGUACCUGCAGAAGAAGCACCGGCUAACUACGUG